UACGUAGGGGGCUAGCGUUGUCCGGAAUCAUUGGGCGUAAAGCGCGUGUAGGCGGUCCGGUAAGUCCGCUGUGAAAGUCGGGGGCUCAACCCUCGGAUGCCGGUGGAUACUGUCGGACUAGAGUUCGGAAGAGGCGAGUGGAAUUCCCGGUGUAGCGGUGAAAUGCGCAGAUAUCGGGAGGAACACCUAUGGCGAAGGCAGCUCGCUGGGACGUUACUGACGCUGAGACGCGAAAGCGUGGGGAGCAAACAGG
rnacentral:rRNA from 1 species